rnacentral:tRNA from 2 species
GUCGAAGUGGCGGAAUUGGUAGACGCGCUAGGUUGAGGGCCUAGUGUCCCUAAUACGGACGUGAGGGUUCGAGUCCCUCCUUCGACA